rnacentral:rRNA from 1 species
UGGGGAAUUUUGGACAAUGGGCGAAAGCCUGAUCCAGCAAUGCCGCGUGUGUGAAGAAGGCCUUCGGGUUGUAAAGCACUUUUGUCCGGAAAGAAAUCCUUGGCUCUAAUACAGUCGGGGGAUGACGGUACCGGAAGAAUAAGCACCGGCUAACUACGUGCCAGCAGCCGCGGUAAUACGUAGGGUGCAAGCGUUAAUCGGAAUUACUGGGCGUAAAGCGUGCGCAGGCGGUUUGCUAAGACCGAUGUGAAAUCCCCGGGCUCAACCUGGGGAACUGCAUUGGUGACUGGCAGGCUAGAGUAUGGCAGAGGGGGGUAGAAUUCCACGUGUAGCAGUGAAAUGCGUAGAGAUGUGGAGGAAUACCGAUGGCGAAGGCAGCCCCCUGGGCCAAUACUGACGCUCAUGCACGAAAAGCGUGGGGAGCAAAACAGGAUUAGAUACCCUGGUAGUCCACGCCCUAAAACGAUGUCAACUAGUUGUUGGGGAUUCAUUUCCUUAGUAACGUAGCUAACGCGUGAAGUUGACCGCCUGGGGGAGUACGGUCGCAAAGAUUAAAACUCAAAGGAAUUGACGGGGUCAUAGCUGUUUCCU